rnacentral:lncRNA from 1 species
UUGGGAACACUGAGCUGCUCUUUAUGAUGAUAUCCAAUUACCCUGAAGCUGCAUGUUGGAAAGGUCAUGUGGAGAUAUCAUGUAGAGGGAGAGAGAGGCCCAAUGAACCCCAGCUAUUUUAGCUCUCAUUUUUGCAUCUUCCCAGUGAACUGACAGACAAAGGCUGGGAGCUGGAAACUUCUGAAGGCUCAUUCACUUGCAUGUCUGUCAUGAAGCUUCAGGGCAGCUCCAGCUGAUGCCAGGGACUUCUGGAGUCCAUUACAGAGCUACUCAACCCACGGCAGUAAUCCUCCCUCUGAGAAUACUACUGUAAUCCUCAAGUGCAGAGUAGAGACUACUGUGCGAAAGAACUCGGGAAAGCAGCAGGCAGUCUGGAAUGGCAAUGGGAAGAUCCAAAGGCAGCAAAGGCUUCUCUCCGCCAUGUGAAAGGCCUGAGUUUAGAUACUUCAGGGAAGUUUUAAUGCCAACCUUCUGUAAAAUCCCCAUUCUCUAAUGUAUGGCUUUAAUUAACAAUCAUGUAUCAAUAUUUGUUAAUCAUAACAAAUGUACCAUACUCCUGUGAGAUGUUAUCAACAGGAAAAAUUGAAGGAGAGGUGCAUGGAGCUCUGUACUAUCCUUGCAAUUUUUCUGUAAAUCUAAAACUGUUGUA